GGAGCAUCAAUGAUGAGUAAACCUUGUUAUCCUUGCACAUUGAUUCGUAAAUGAUGAAAAUUAAUAGGUGAAAUUAAAUCCGAGAUGCC